UACGGAGGGUGCAAGCGUUAUCCGGAAUUAUUGGGCGUAAAGCGCGCGUAGGCGGUUUUUUAAGUCUGUUGUGAAAGCCCAGGGCUCAACCUGGGAAGGGCAUUGGAAACUGGAAAGCUUGAGUGCAGGAGAGGAAGGUGGAAUUCCAGGUGUAGCGGUGAAAUGCGUAGAGAUAUGGAGGAACACCAGUGGCGAAGGCGGCCUUCUGGUCUGUAACUGACGCUGAUGUGCGAAAGCGUGGGUAUCAAACAGG
rnacentral:rRNA from 1 species